AUCUCUUCUGGUUUACGACUUGCGUAUCUCUUCGGUGCCAACGUCUCCAGGGUUUUGUGGGGCAAACAUGCGACCACCUCUACAGAUGUUAUCAAAGGCACCCUGACCAGAACGAUGAGCCGCUGUACUGAAACGCGCUGCAAUUUUGACAGCGCAGAGACGUCAACAGGAGAGAGACCUUAUCCUGGCCGAGAAGCGUGGCUCCCAAUGGCGAAAUAUACUUGGCCAACUGACCAGAGGGGUGGCCAGGCCAAACCUGGCUAAUUUGGUAGCAGCGAAUAGAGUGCUGAAGAAGCUCCUAAAGAAAAAUAUUUAUGGCCCCCAGAAGAGGGUGGGAAAAAGAAAAGGAAGUAGUGGAAGAGGAGGGAGAGGGAGAGGA